CGCAAUUCUCUUGCAAAUUUGCAAGAGAACCUAAGCACUGGCAAAUUAGCAAGGGAAUUGCAAUGGAUCCCUCACAAAUCCCUUGCAAAUCCAUGUUUCCAAACUUAAACGGUUUGGGUUUCAUCAAGGAUUUUGGUGUAGGAUAACACAUUUUAUUGAAUCAUUUAGUGUUUAAAAUGUACGUCAAAAAAUAUUUUCAGAAAUUUAAUUAAAUAUAGUUAUGAACUUAAGUCCCAACACUUAAUUUGUUAUUACAAGUAAUUAACAUCAAACCCUUAUAACUUAUAUAACUCAUAUACGUCAACUAAAUUUCCGGAAAAUGUUAAACAUACUUUCACAUUAAUUAUUUGUUUUUAAUAGAAUCACUAAAUAGUAAAUACAUAUAGUCUACCGAAAAGAUAGCAAAACCUCAAACGAAACCCUAAAAUGCACUAUUUAUGAAUUUUCAAUGGAUUUGCAAGGGAAUUUUCGCAAUGGAUUUGCAAGGGAAUUCUCGGAAUUCCCUUGUAAAUCGCAAAUUGGCGAGAGAAUUGUAAGGAAUCCAUUGCAUUUCCCUUGCAAAUUCAUUUUUUUCAACUCAAAAUGAAAAUUUCAAAACUAGUCACGAUUUAAACUCUAUACAGUAAACUUUAUAAUGUUUGAAAACUUAAACUCUGAAUCUUAAAUACAAACUUAUAAAACUAAAUAUUUGUUUAAAACUUAAUCUCAAACUAUAUAUCUAUUUCCAAACUUUAACCAUAAACCCUAAACCACAUUUAUCCCAAACACUAUAUCUCAAAUUUAAUCACCAAAAUCCAAACACACCAACUUUAAUAUUUUAAAAUUUAAACACCAAAACUUUAACAUAACUAAUAAUCAUAAACAUUAACCUUAUAUUUAAUUUUUUAAAAUUAAGAUAACCUUAAAUCUUAAGUUUGAACUCAAAUUUUCAUAUUUUUAAAUUUUAAUUUCAUAUCUUAAAUCCAAACCAUAAGCUCUAAAUAUAAACCAUACCCCCAAAUCAUAUAUCCUAAACUCAAAUUAAAAAAUAAAAUCAUGCCACUUUUGUUAAUGUGAUAUAUCAUUAACAUUAUAAAAUUUAUAACUUUAUAAAAUUUAUAAUUUUUAUAUAAAUAAAAUUAGUUAAACAAUAAAAACACAAUUUCUAAAACAAUUAUUAAACAAAAACACGAUAAUCUCUGACCAUUGAUAACUUUUGAUCCAAUGGCCUUAAAUCAAUCUUUUGUUAAUCUUCGUCACUCUUUCUCAUUGGUCCACAUUGUAAAAGGUGGAUCACUCAUUAUUAAACUCGGUCGUUGAUAAGUGUCAAUCUAAAGGAAGAAACUAAUGUAUUUGAUUUAAUAUUUGAUUUAUCUUUUUCUUCCUUCUCUCCUCUAUCGAGACUUCAUGCUUGCUCUUCUCCUCUCUCGUCUUCUCUUCUUCUCAUCUCAUCUCCAUCAAUGAAAAAAAAGACAGAGCAAGCAUCAACAAUCGUUGAUCUGAGAAAGUGGUGAUGUGACGAGUCGGUAGUGGUGGCGUGAUGAAUCAGUUGUCGCCGGUGGCGAGCAUGGAGGAGCGGUGGCGGAACGUGGAUGACGAGGCAGAAAAGCUUAAUGGCGGAGGAGGCAGAAAAGCUUCAUGUGGGAGGCGGACGCGGACGAGACAAGGCGUGGUCACGUAGGGUUGGUGGUGUUAGACAGAGAAGUCGCUUGAGUACUGGUGGCAUUUGCCGGAGUCGUCAAAGGAGGCGGAGGCGGAGGCGUGAGGAGUUAGGGCUUUAGGUUUAGGUGUGAACUGUAUAAUUUUUUUAUUAGGUUAAUUAUUUAAAACUACUUUAAUUUGUAAUCCAAAUUCAAUUAUUUUGUAAAUAAAAAUUAUUAAAUUAUAUAUUUUAAUUGUAUUUUGUGA